rnacentral:rRNA from 1 species
CCUACGGGAGGCAGCAGUGGGGAAUAUUGCACAAUGGGGGAAACCCUGAUGCAGCGACGCCGCGUGAGUGAAGAAGUAAUUCGUUAUGUAAAGCUCUAUCAGCAGGGAAGAAAAUGACGGUACCUGAGUCAGAAGCCCCGGCUAACUACGUGCCAGCAGCCGCGGUAAUACGUAGGGGGCAAGCGUUAUCCGGAUUUACUGGGUGUAAAGGGAGCGUAGACGGCAGUGCAAGUCUGGAGUGAAAUGCCGGGGCUCAACCCCCGAACUGCUCGGGAAACUGGACGGCUGGAGUGCAGGAGAGGUAAGUGGAAUUCCUGGUGUAGCGGUGAAAUGCGUAGAGAUCAGGAGGAACACCGGGGGCGAAGGCGGCUUACUGGACUGUAACUGACGUUGAGGCUCGAAAGCGUGGGGAGCAAACAGGAUUAGAUACCCCAGUAGUC